CUGAUGCUGAAUGUUUCAACAUCAUAUUAAACAGCCAUUGCCAAGGGGUGGAAGUUGCAUACCUACCAGCUACUUCCAUUUUCAUAUCUGGUCAAGGGUAAAUAGGCACUGAGGAGUGGCAUUCCCAGUAGCUGCAUGACAGGUGAUGGAGGGAGAUGUCUGAACCAAAUAUUGGCUUACCUGAUCAAGUAGUUGGCAACCCUGCCUAUGGCAGGGAGGUUGGAGUUCUAGGAUUUUUAAAGUCCUUUCCAAUCUAAGCCAUUCAGUGACUGCCUCCCUCCCCCAUGUGUUUCCUGCCCCUAUCACAAGGGCUGCCUGUUGGAGAUUGGGACUGAAUAAUAUCACUUCUGUAUUUUUCAGUGUUUCUGUGCCAAAUGUCUCCACCGUUUGUUUGGAAAUCUGAUAUCCUGGGUGUUUCUUGACAUGCAUCCAUCUGUGGCCCAAUGUGCCAUCCUUGGGGCUGCUUUGCCUGCUUGCCAUGCUCUUCUCUGGUCUUGCUCACCUCACUCAGCAGAAAACUGUCCCCUCUUCUGGAUGAACUAAUAGAUUGACUUUGUGGAGUCCUGUAGAGGUUUUCCUGGCUUUUGGAUCUAGGGAAAAGUGAGUAGCAGGAAAACAGUCAGAGAAGUAAAGAAACCAGCAGAAAGUAAACAUGAUUUAUGGCAACAACAGAACUAUUAUCAGAUGAGUUUGUGCAGUCAUCUGUAGAAUCUGUCUAAAUAAUAACUGAGUGUUUUAGCACUGUGCGUGGUGUCAUUUUAAAUAAUUGAAAAUGCCAUGCUUUAAUGCACUAAUGUAAAACAGAUUUUAUCAUUUCUUAAUAUGUUAAUGUUUUCCUGUCUUUCAGGCUGAAGGUGGCCCUUUGUAAGGGUUAAUCAUCCGUCAAAUAUUUAAUAAUUGUUUGUUCAGAAAAUUUCCUGCAUUGUUCAUGGAGUUUUUCAUCAGUAUGUCUGAAACCAUUAAAUAUAAUGAUGACGAUCACAAAACUGUGUUCUUGAAAACAUUAAAUGAACAACGUUUGGAAGGAGAAUUUUGUGACAUAGCUAUCGUGGUUGAAGAUGUUAAAUUCCGAGCACAUAGGUGUGUGCUUGCUGCCUGCAGUACCUACUUCAAAAAGCUUUUCAAAAAACUAGAGGUUGAUAGUUCCUCAGUAAUUGAAAUAGAUUUUCUUCGUUCUGAUAUUUUUGAGGAAGUUCUUAAUUACAUGUACACCGCAAAGAUUUCUGUUAAGAAGGAAGAUGUAAAUUUGAUGAUGUCUUCAGGCCAGAUUCUUGGUAUUCGUUUUCUGGAUAAACUCUGCUCUCAAAAACGUGAUGUAUCUAGUCCUGAAGAGAACACACAGUCCAAGAGCAAGUACUGUCUGAAAAUAAACCGUCCUAUUGGGGAACCUAAUGAUACCCAGGAUGAUGAGGUAGAAGAGAUUGGAGAUCACGAUGACAGUCCAUCGGAUGUGACAGUGGAAGGAACUCCCCCCAGUCAGGAAGAUGGGAAAUCACCAACCACUACCCUGAGAGUUCAGGAGGCGAUUCUGAAGGAGUUGGGAAGUGAAGAGGUUCGAAAGGUAAACUGCUAUGGCCAAGAAGUGGAGCCUAUGGAAACAACGGAGUCAAAAGACUUAGGAUCUCAAACCCCCCAGGCUUUGACAUUUAAUGAUGGCAUAAGUGAAGUGAAAGAUGAACAGACACCAGGCUGGACAACAGCAGCUGGGGAUAUGAAGUUUGAAUAUCUGCUUUAUGGUCAUAGGGAACACAUUGUAUGUCAGGCUUGUGGUAAGACCUUUUCUGAUGAGGCACGACUGAGAAAACAUGAAAAGCUACACACUGCUGAUAGACCAUUUGUUUGUGAAAUGUGUACAAAGGGCUUUACCACACAAGCUCAUUUGAAAGAGCAUCUGAAAAUACACACAGGUUACAAGCCUUACAGUUGCGAGGUAUGUGGAAAGUCUUUUAUUCGUGCACCGGACUUAAAAAAGCAUGAAAGAGUUCACAGUAAUGAGAGGCCAUUUGCAUGCCACAUGUGUGAUAAAGCUUUCAAGCACAAGUCCCACCUCAAAGACCAUGAAAGAAGACACCGGGGAGAGAAGCCUUUUGUCUGCAGUUCCUGCACUAAAGCAUUUGCUAAAGCAUCAGAUCUAAAGAGGCAUGAGAACAAUAUGCACAGUGAAAGAAAACAAGUUACUACAGCCAAUUCCAUCCAGAGUGAAACAGAACAGUUACAGGCAGCAGCUAUGGCUGCUGAAGCAGAGCAGCAAUUAGAAACUAUAGCUUGUAGUUAAAAAAAAAAAAAAAAAAAGAAAAACACCCAGAAACUUUAUCAAAAAUAAUAUAAGAUAUUAAAAUGAACAAAAUCUAUUGUUGAUAUACAUUUAGACCAAUAAUUAUCUUUUGGAAAAAAAAAAAAAAACACAACUAUUUUUAUUGGAUCUGAAUGCUACAUAGGAACAGAAGGCAUUGUUCAGUUAGGUAUUUUUAAAAAUUCAGAGAUGGGUAUUGUUAGAAUAUAAAAUAGUUUUGUUGUCAUUAGCAGUAUAAUGCACUAAUAGCUGAUUUAUUUUAAGGUUAUGAUCAAUUUCUCUAUAAAACAGGGAUCAUCACUGGAGGAUGUUUUGCUAUAUCAAGCAUGGAAUACUGCAUACAAUAUGGACAUCAAAAUCAGUGAAUGAUGUCUAAAAUGCUGAUAGUUCAUAAAAUUAGAAACAGAAAGGAUAUACUUGUUUUUCAUAAUUUUGAAGGUGUUAGGCUUACAAUUCUUGAGAAAGAAGCAAGAAAUGAUUCCCUGUGCUUUUUAAUUCCUCUUUUUUUUUUUUUUUUUUUUUUUUUUUUUUAAUACCUAAGGUAGAUGCUAGAGGUUAGUACAGCAGGGUAAUGGGGGACUGUGAUCAAAAUUAAAUUUCUUCUUUUUCCACUCCCUCAAAUAUCCUUUCAUUUUAACUGAGGUGGCAAGUUUUAUUAACUAGAAAGUACUCGCUUUCCUAAAAAAACUGCAUUAUUCACCAUGGUCCAGGCUGGCAAAGAAGGGUCUUGCACUUGCCAGUCCCUUCUAUGAGGAAAAAGUGUCUGACUUAUUUGUUUCUGUGUUAGUUCAGAAGGCCCCAGGAUAUGGAACAGAACUACAAGGAAAAAAGGUGCAACAUGGAGAAAGAGCUAUUUUCCUUAAUGGGACCUGGUAGAAAUGAGUUAAAGCUCAUUUGCAGCCUGACAUGAUAGCUUCUGUUAUACAGCUUUCACUCCACCUAACCUAGCACAGUCAAGGCAAAGAGCAGCACAGGAGGAUUAAGUGCACUGGCAAGUGACCGAAAUUCACUGCUGGAGCACAGGGCACAGCCAUGGCCUAUUGCAUUACCUGCCAGCAGUGUUCAGACUGGGAUUUUCUAUUUUAGCUGGUUUUACCAACUUGUAAGUCCUGCUCACCUUUAAAGAAUUCCACCUUCUGGCACACUGCCACUCAGCAAGAGGGAGACUUCAUUGUGUGAUUUCAGUCUUAAAUUGAUUCAGAAUCAGUGUUCACUUGUAGUCUGUUACCUGGAAUUUCAUGUCAUGUUUUUUUUUUGUUGUUUUUUCAGACAAGCUGCUGCUAGUUUAACUGUUAACUCGCAGAGUCAACAAAAUAAGUCAUCUUUGGAUUGCAGUCUGCUAUGUGUAGUUAACAAGAGAAGACACAAAAAUAGUGAUAAUAUGAUCCAAAGGGAUAUCGAGCCUUUAUUUAAAAUUUGUAAAUACUGAACUAUUGUCAACACUUCAUUUGAAGUAGGAAUGGGCAAAAAAUGCAUUAUUUUUGGCACAUGGUUGGACAACAUUGAUCAUUUGCGAUACCUAUAGCAUAUGAAAGUGUUAGACCAGUUUCUGGUGUUAAAACUGGGGUCACUAAGCCUGCAUAAAAUAAAUCUGUUGUGAAAAGACUUCAAAAGCAUAAAAAAUGGAAAACCUAGAUUUUCUCUAGGUCUCUUACGAAGAGUGCAAGAGGAUGCUGGGGAAGUGAUGAAUGCGUGCUUGAAUGAAAGGAAAGCUUAAGGCCUACAGUUCAAAAAAUACAUAUAUUGCCCCCUGACAUUUUUGCACAAGCAAUUGAGAUGUCAAUUUCAGUCAUAUGGAAAAGCAGAAGAUGCUAUGUACAGAAGCAGAUGUAUGGCAGCUCCAAGCCAUAACGGUUUUCCAGCAUGGCCUUACUCCUUCAGAUAUUUAUAAAGCUCUGAAACUCUAAGACCUUCAACAAUUCUGAUAGGAACAGAACAGUGCUGAGAGCUCUAUAUGACAGAAAUAGACUGAAGUCUCUCUGUUUUUCAACAAUCUGCAGCUAAGUAUCUAAUUUUAUAAAGAUGAACUUGAAAACCACUUAGACCUUCUGAAUAAAGUUGUUCCAAAUCUAAAACAUUUAUUAUUAAAGUAAAGCAUGAAUAUCAAAAGGCUUGGUCAACAGCAGAAAUACUGCGUACCUGUAUCCCAGAUUCCUUGUAGGGUACAUAUGCAUAUGUUUAUAUAAAAUAUUUCUAUACCUGGGAUAUCUGUGUACAUUUAAAAGCCUGUAGCUCUUGAAAGGAUACAACAAGAUUGUCAAGGGUGGUACUAAUAAUAUAUUGAAAAUCUUAGUGAAUGGAAAUUCCAAAUAUAUUUUCUUUUUCAGAGUGUUGACCACUUUGCAUAAAUGUAUAUAGGACAGUAGGAGCGUAUUGCAUACUCUGCAUGUAUUUAGAUUUAAAGCUGAAUUUUAAUGUAGAACUAAAAGAAACUACUGGAAGUAUGCACUGAAUAUAGAUGGUCUUAGAGGAAUCAUAAAAUUAUGAGAAUUGUGAUAAAUGAUAAUUUCAACUUUUCUGUUUUAGAAAAAAAUACAUUUUCUAAGGCAAAAUCUUUUUUUUUAAUUUAAAGACACACACAAAAAAAGCGAAAAACGUGAUGACAGCAACAAAGCAUACUGCUUACUUCUGUGGUUUUCUGACUUCUUCCCAGCAGGCAAUUUAUACAUUUGAGUAAUCUACAUGUACAAGCAAGUUAGCUGUGGGGAAGCUCAAUUUUUAGAAUAUUUUAGAGACAAAAAUACUGAAGUUCUCAUUCUUCACUAAUGAAGAUCCUGAUUUUUUUUCAAGGUCACAGAUACCAGAAACAGUGCUUGUAUGAACAAAUCCUUGCAGUGGCAUUGCAGAGUAUUCAGGCAAGAGGAUGUCAUCUGCUAGCAUUCCACUCUAAGAUGAAAAAUUCAUUUUUUCCUUUUGCUCUAGAAAUUGAAAUUAAAAAAAAAAAAAAAAACCACAAAAUACUGUGUAGCUUCAGGCAGGGUUCCUCUUUGGGGGAAAUUAUCAAUUAUCUGCAGAUUUUUGGUUGUUUUAUACUUGUCAUCAGCAUAACUGUAGUUUUACAGAGUAGAGUUUUCAGGACUGUGUAUCUUCAGAUGAAGAUAUUUGUCCUACUUGGCAUACUGUCAAAGCUUGUUAAUGUGUUUCUGUUGUGUUUAAGAUUGCAUAGGCAAAUCACAGGAGAACAGUUGGAAUAAAAGCAAGAAUAUACUGUGAUAAAUAUUCUCAAACUUAACUUAUUCAGCUCUAGUACAAACAAAAUGCAAAUCUGUAUUUGCUGUAUCUAAUGCAGUUAUAUUUAAGAACAACUUUUCACUUGCUUACAAAGUCAGUAGCCUCAGAUAAUGCUUGCUGUUUUGUGUUCGUUGUAUUAACCUCCAACAUUUAGAAUCUGCAUACACAUUUUUUGUCCUGAGUGUGAGAACCAUGGAGUAUCUUUUGAUAUAUAUCUAUCACAGUAGAAAUGUCUAGUGGUAUUGACUGUGUCUAAGCAGCAUUUAAUCUUGUUUUUGUAUACUAGGGAAUCUCUUUUCCUCGUGUCCUAAAUAAGCCCAUUACCAUUCCCCCAUUCCUAUUUCCUUUUAAAAAAGAUUAAAGUUUUCCUGAGCUGUGCUUAGGGCAUUAAAGAUUUUUUUUUUUUCCCUCAGAUGCUGAUUACUUCGUUAACACAUAAGUGAAUAGAAAGUUUGCUGUUUAGAAAGGAAAUUUGCAAUGGAAUGUUUCUCUGUUUCUUUCAAAACUUUAGCAUUGUUUGUUUUUUUUUCCUUUUCUACUUUAAACUUCAUUUUUUGAGAUGACAGUCUUCUAAAGGCAUAGUUUUCUGCUUAUGAAGAACUUGCUUCUGACAACUUAUUGGUAAUUCCAGGUAAAGUGUUCACAGGUAGGCCAAAUGUAGUAUACAGAACGAAGAAUGGAACUCACCCAACUGGUAAAGGGGAUCUCUGGCUAAUCAGCACUCAUCAGGAAGCAGUGUAGGUCCAAAAGAUGUUCUCCUUUCAGUGGCUGACCCUUACAUGAGACCAUCACUGUGGCUGAUCCGUGCCCCCUGGGUCAGCCACACUCCUUCACUAAGUAG